rnacentral:rRNA from 1 species
CAGCAGCCGCGGGAAUACGGAGGGUGCAAGCGUUAAUCGGAAUUACUGGGCGUAAAGCGCACGCAGGCGGUUUGUUAAGUCAGAUGUGAAAUCCCCGAGCUUAACUUGGGAACUGCAUUUGAAACUGGCAAGCUAGAGUCUUGCAGAGGGGGGUAGAAUUCCAGGUGUAGCGGUGAAAUGCGUAGAGAUCUGGAGGAAUACCGGUGGCGAAGGCGGCCCCCUGGACAAAGACUGACGCUCAGGUGCGAAAGCGUGGGGAGCAAACAGGAUUAGAUACCCCGGUAGUCCCUGUCUCUUAUAC